UUGAGGCUUAAUCUCGAACUUAAACAUGACCACGAGCAGUUUCAGGACAUGCAUGCUUUGAAAGAUCAAGGAAGUUCGCAGCAUUUUCAUAUGAACCCUGAGUAGUUUGGUCAACAGUAUGAUCUUCAAGAUUGAUGGGCUCUUCUUCCGGUUGGUUACUUAAUCUUUAAGGAUUACCGAGACUUUGCUCUUCGGUGACGGUGCCAGCGAAAGGUCGUUAAAGCUUCUCGAGCCUUUUGGGUUAGAGCAACGGUGUCCAGCUUGGAUCUUUACUUGAACUCCUCCGUCUGGAUUAUGUGGUCAUGCAGGGAAGGGCUUCGUGCUUCAUGAUUUGUUCCAGCUCGUUGUGUUGCAUUCUUCUCUGCUUGUUUCUUUUGCAUAGCUGAAGCGGUGUGCAACCUUUUGCCUUUAAAUGGUUCCUCGGAGCACCACCUCUCAGCGACUCACUCAUGCUUGGCAGCUUCAGUGCAAAGAGCCGAUGUCAACAGAUCCACACUCUUGAAGCAUUUGCUGAGGGAAUUCGAGACAUAUUAACAGUUGAAGAUGAGCACUCGAGAGCAACGCUAGGUAAGUAACCAGGCAAAGGUUCCGGGCAAUCAGCUCCUGGUCGGACAUUUAAUUUCAGGUUCCGACUGAUUGCUUCCUUUCUCCUUGUUCUGCAGGCAAGAGCAAGGGCAGAGGAGAAGAUGGGGGAAGAGCAUGAUAUGAGAUACCUUUGCUUUCGACCCUAGUGAUAUGAGAUACUUUUGCUUUUGAAGAAGUAGCGGACGAUCAGCACAUGCAUUCGUCGCGCCUGUCUCCAUAUGCUUUGAUGCAUCAUCUUCACCUGUAUCAUCUGUUUUCCAGGCAGCUGUGGUAGACGAAGAGGAAGCAGAAGAUGUUGACGAUGGGUAUUCGAGAGCACGGCUAAGUGAGCAAUCAGGAAAGGUUCCAAGC
rnacentral:lncRNA from 1 species